rnacentral:rRNA from 1 species
GAUGAACGCUGGCGGCGUGCCUAAUACAUGCAAGUCGAGCGAACAGACGAGAGUGCUUGCACUCUCUGACGUUAGCGGCGGGCGGGUGAGUCACACGUGGGUAACCUCCCUAUAAGACUGGGAUAACUUCGGGAAACCGGCUCUAAUCCCGGAUAAUAUUUAGCUUCGCAUGAAGCAAUAGUGAAAGACGGUUCUGCUGUCUCUUAUAGAUGGACCCGCGGUGUAUUAGCUAGUUGGUGAGGUAACGGCUCACCAAGGCAACGAUACAUAGACGACCCGAGAGGGUGAUCGGCCACACUGGGACUGAGACACGGCCCAGACUCCUACGGGAGGCAGCAGUAGGGAAUCUUCCGCAAUGGACGAAAGUCUGACGGAGCAAUGCCGCGUGAGUGAAGAAGGUUUUCGGAUCGUAAAACUCUGUUGUAAGGGAAGAACAAGUACGUUAGUAACUGAACGUACCUUGACGGUACCUGACCAGAAAGCCACGGCUAACUACGUA